CGGUGACUGCCUCGCGCGUCAGGUUAGCGAUGCCCAGGGGCCUUAAUGUACUUCACCGGGAGCUGUCCCUGCCCAGGGCCGUGGCCUUGGGCAUAUGGCGCCCACCUGCACUGCAGGCCCGUGAGGAUCCACACACCAACGGCGAACGCGGUACCGU
rnacentral:other from 1 species